GAUGAAGAACGUAGUGAAAUGCGAUAAGUAGUGUGAAUUGCAGAAUUCAGUGAAUCAUCGAAUCUUUGAACGCACAUUGCGCCCCCUGGUAUUCCGGGGGGCAUGCCUGUCCGAGCGUCAUUGCUGCCCUCAAGCACGGCUUGUGUGUUGGGCCUCCGUCCUCCUCCCGGGGGACGGGCCCGAAAGGCAGCGGCGGCACCGCGUCCGGUCCUCGAGCGUAUGGGGCUUCGUCACCCGCUCUUGUAGGCCCGGCCGGCGCUUGCCGACACAUCAAUCUUUUUUCCAGGUUGACCUCGGAUCAGGUAGGGAUACCCGCUGAACUUGAGCAUAUCAAUAAGCGGAGGA
rnacentral:misc_RNA from 1 species